rnacentral:rRNA from 1 species
GAUGAACGCUGGCGGCGUGCCUAAUACAUGCAAGUCGAGCGAACAGACGAGGAGCUUGCUCCUCUGACGUUAGCGGCGGACGGGUGAGUAACACGUGGAUAACCUACCUAUAAGACUGGGAUAACUUCGGGAAACCGGAGCUAAUACCGGAUAAUAUAUUGAACCGCAUGGUUCAAUAGUGAAAGACGGUUUUGCUGUCACUUAUAGAUGGAUCCGCGCCGCAUUAGCUAGUUGGUAAGGUAACGGCUUACCAAGGCAACGAUGCGUAGCCGACCUGAGAGGGUGAUCGGCCACACUGGAACUGAGACACGGUCCAGACUCCUACGGGAGGCAGCAGUAGGGAAUCUUCCGCAAUGGGCGAAAGCUUGACGGAGCAACGCCGCGUGAGUGAUGAAGGUCUUCGGAUCGUAAACCUCUGUUAUUAGGGAAGAACAAAUGUGCAAGUAACUAUGCACGUCUUGACGGUACCUAAUCAGAAAGCCACGGCUAACUACGUG